CCAAUAGCGUAUAUUAAAGUUGUUGCAGUUAAAAAGCUCGUAGUUGAAUUUCGGGAUCAGUACGUUGGUCAUGCCUUAGGUAUGUACUGAUGUCACUGAUUCCUCCCUUCUGAAGAACUGUCAUGUCAUUCACUUGGUGUGGCAGGGAAUCAGGACUGUUACUUUGAAAAAAUUAGAGUGUUUAAAGCAGGCCCGCGCUUGAAUACAUUAGCAUGGAAUAAUGGAAUAGGACGUUGACCCUAUUUUGUUGGUUUCUAGGAUUGACGUAAUGAUUAAUAGGGAUAGUUGGGAGCAUUAGUAUUCAAUUGUCAGAGGUGAAAUUCUUGGAUUUAUUGAAGACUAACUACUGCGAAAGCAUUUGCCAAGGAUGUUUUCAUUAAUCAAGAACGAAAGUUAGGGGAUCGAAGACGAUCAGAUACCGUCGUAGUCUUAACCAUAAACUAUGCCGACUAGGGAUCGGAUGAUGUUAAUUUUUUAAUGACUCAGUCGGCGCCUUACG
rnacentral:rRNA from 1 species